GACGAACGCUGGCGGCGUGCUUAACACAUGCAAGUCGAACGGAAACGCCCUGCUUUUGUGGUGUUCUCGAUUGUCGAACGGGUGUGUAACACGUGUGUAACCUGCCCUUGACUUUGGGAUAUCUUCAGGAGACUGGGGCUCUUACCCCGUAUAAGCUCCUGAUGCAUGUUGGUUGUUGGAAAAUUCCGGCGGUUGGUGCUGGACUCGCGGCUAAUCGGCUUGUUGGUGGGGUAUUGGCUGACCACGGCUUUGACGGGUAGCCGACAUUAGAGGGUGACCGGCGACAAUGGUCCUGAGAGACGGAGCAGAAGGCUAUGGGAGGCAGCAGUGGGGAAUAUGGCAGAGUGGGCGGAAGUCAGAGGAAGCAAUGCCGGGUGCGGGAUGCCGGGUUGUGGGUUGUAAACAGCUGUUGGAGGAAAUGAAGGGGGAGUGACGGUAACGGGUAAAGAAGCACCGGCUAACUACGUG
rnacentral:rRNA from 1 species